UACGUAGGUGACCAGCGUUGUCCGGAUUUACUGGGCGUAAAGAGCGCGCAGGCGGUCGUUCAAGUCGAGUGUGAAAGCCCCCGGCUCAACUGGGGAGGGUCAUUCGAUACUGAUCGACUGGAAGGCAGGAGAGGGAAGCGGAAUUCCCGGUGUAGUGGUGAAAUGCGUAGAUAUCAGGAGGAACACCAAUGGCGAAGGCAGCUCGCUGGGACGUGACUGACGCUGAGACGCGAAAGCGUGGGGAGCAAACAGG
rnacentral:rRNA from 1 species